rnacentral:rRNA from 1 species
AUUGAACGCUGGCGGCAGGCCUAACACAUGCGAGUCGAGCGGAUGAAGGGAGCUUGCUCCUGGAUUCAGCGGCGGACGGGUGAGUAAUGCCUAGGAAUCUGCCUGGUAGUGGGGGAUAACGUCCGGAAACGGGCGCUAAUACCGCAUACGUCCUGAGGGAGAAAGUGGGGGAUCUUCGGACCUCACGCUACCAGAUGAGCCUAGGUCGGAUUAGCUAGUUGGUGGGGUAAAGGCCUACCAGGGCGACGAUCCGUAACUGGUCUGAGAGGAUGAUCAGUCACACUGGAACUGAGACACGGUCCAGACUCCUACGGGAGGCAGCAGUGGGGAAUAUUGGACAAUGGGCGAAAGCCUGAUCCAGCCAUGCCGCGUGUGUGAAGAAGGUCUUCGGAUUGUAGAGCACUUUAAGUUGGGAGGAAGGGCAGUAAGUUAAUACCUUGCUGUUUUGACGUUACCAACAGAAUAAGCACCGGCUAACUUCGUG